CUUUUACAAUGAAGAGUUUGAUCCUGGCUCAGGAUGAACGCUAGCUACAGGCUUAACACAUGCAAGUCGAGGGGCAGCAUUUCAGUUUGCUUGCAAACUGGAGAUGGCGACCGGCGCACGGGUGAGUAACACGUAUCCAACCUGCCGAUAACUCGGGGAUAGCCUUUCGAAAGAAAGAUUAAUACCCGAUGGCAUAAUUAGACCGCAUGGUCUUAUUAUUAAAGAAUUUCGGUUAUCGAUGGGGAUGCGUUCCAUUAGGCAGUUGGUGAGGUAACGGCUCACCAAACCUUCGAUGGAUAGGGGUUCUGAGAGGAAGGUCCCCCACAUUGGAACUGAGACACGGUCCAAACUCCUACGGGAGGCAGCAGUGAGGAAUAUUGGUCAAUGGACGAGAGUCUGAACCAGCCAAGUAGCGUGAAGGAUGACUGCCCUAUGGGUUGUAAACUUCUUUUAUAUGGGAAUAAAGUUUUCCACGUGUGGAAUUUUGUAUGUACCAUAUGAAUAAGGAUCGGCUAACUCCGUGCCAGCAGCCGCGGUAAUACGGAGGAUCCGAGCGUUAUCCGGAUUUAUUGGGUUUAAAGGGAGCGUAGGUGGACAGUUAAGUCAGUUGUGAAAGUUUGCGGCUCAACCGUAAAAUUGCAGUUGAUACUGGCUGUCUUGAGUACAGUAGAGGUGGGCGGAAUUCGUGGUGUAGCGGUGAAAUGCUUAGAUAUCACGAAGAACUCCGAUUGCGAAGGCAGCUCACUGGACUGCAACUGACACUGAUGCUCGAAAGUGUGGGUAUCAAACAGGAUUAGAUACCCUGGUAGUCCACACAGUAAACGAUGAAUACUCGCUGUUUGCGAUAUACAGUAAGCGGCCAAGCGAAAGCAUUAAGUAUUCCACCUGGGGAGUACGCCGGCAACGGUGAAACUCAAAGGAAUUGACGGGGGCCCGCACAAGCGGAGGAACAUGUGGUUUAAUUCGAUGAUACGCGAGGAACCUUACCCGGGCUUAAAUUGCAUUUGAAUAAUCUGGAAACAGGUUAGCCGCAAGGCAAAUGUGAAGGUGCUGCAUGGUUGUCGUCAGCUCGUGCCGUGAGGUGUCGGCUUAAGUGCCAUAACGAGCGCAACCCUUAUCUUUAGUUACUAACAGGUCAUGCUGAGGACUCUAGAGAGACUGCCGUCGUAAGAUGUGAGGAAGGUGGGGAUGACGUCAAAUCAGCACGGCCCUUACGUCCGGGGCUACACACGUGUUACAAUGGGGGGUACAGAAGGCAGCUACCUGGUGACAGGAUGCUAAUCCCAAAAGCCUCUCUCAGUUCGGAUCGAAGUCUGCAACCCGACUUCGUGAAGCUGGAUUCGCUAGUAAUCGCGCAUCAGCCAUGGCGCGGUGAAUACGUUCCCGGGCCUUGUACACACCGCCCGUCAAGCCAUGAAAGCCGGGGGUACCUGAAGUACGUAACCGCAAGGAGCGUCCUAGGGUAAAACUGGUAAUUGGGGCUAAGUCGUAACAAGGUAGCCGUACCGGAAGGUGCGGCUGGAACACCUCCUUU
rnacentral:rRNA from 1 species